rfam:Gossypium raimondii chromosome 3, whole genome shotgun sequence.
AGGCCAUUGUGAGAGCACCUUCUCAAAAAAUCCUCAAAUCUCUCCCAUGUAUCAUAAAGAGUCUCAAUAUCAAACUGAACAAAAGAAGAUAUGUCAUUCCUCAACUU